rnacentral:lncRNA from 1 species
UUUUUUUUUUUUUUUUUUUUUUUGCUUUUUAGGGCCACACCUGCGGCAUACGGAGGUUCCCAGGCUAGGGGUCCAACGUAAGUGACAGCCGCCAGCCUACACCACAGCCACAGCAACACAGGAUCCGAGCCGCGUCUGCGACCUACACCACAGCUCACGGCAACACUGGAUCCUUAACCCACUGGGCAAGGCCGGGGAUCAAACCCACAACCUCAUGGUUCCUAGGCAGAUUCUUUUCUGCUGUGCCACAACGGGAACUCUGGGAAGAAUUUCUUAAACAAGAAAGUAUUGACCAUAAAGGAAAGGACUGAUAAAACUAAUAAAGUUAAAAUUAAGAGUUUGUGAGCACCCAGAGGCCUCACAAAUAGAGCAAAAAAGACAAGUCAAAGAGGGAAAAGAUAUUUGCAACACAUACGUUCAAGUAAAGACUCACCCCGGAACAUACAAAGGAGUCCUAUAAAUUGCGAAAAAAGAAGACAAUUUACAGAAAAAGGGGAAACACUUAAGAAAAAAAGUAGCCAAGAAGCCACCAAUCAGGGAAAAGCAAAUUAAAACCACAAUAAGACAGCAUUUCACAUUCACCAGACAGGCAAAAAUGACAAAUUAACAAUACCAAGUUCUGGUGAAGAGAUGGAGCAGUAAGAGCGCCCAUUCACUGUUAGAAGGAGCACAAGCUGAACCAAGCGCUUGGGGAAAUAGUUUGAAUUACAGUGAAGCUAAAAGUCAAAUACUCAGGAGCUCCGCCUGUGGCACAGUGGUUAAGAAUCUGACUGCAGUGGCUCCAGUUGCUGCAGAGGUGAGGGCUUGAUCCCUGGCCCAGCACAGUGGGUUAAAAGAUCUGGUGUCGCCGCAGCUACAGCAUCGUACAUCACAGCUGCAGCUCAGAUUUAAUCCUCGGCCCAGGAACUUUCCUAUGUUGCAGGUGUGGCCGUAAAAUUAAAAAAAAAGAAAAUAUGAAUACUCCAUGACCCAAGAGUCCACCCCUCAUACCAUACACACACUAGAAAGACAUUUGCACAAAGAGAUGUGUGUGUGUGUGUGUGUGUGUAUUGUGUACACAUAGGAAUGUUUUCGAGCCUUUUUCAUAAGACCCAAAAGCUGGAAACAGUUCAAACAUCCAUCAACAGGACAAUGGACAAAUGCCUCAUCGUAGGACAGGAACCUGAACAAAAACAACGAGCAAACCACAGGGACAGGCAGCAACGUGGCUGAGUCUUGCACUUAUACUGUUGAUGAAAACAAACAAGUAAAAGUAACGGACACCGAACACUUGCAGAACUAAAUGAUGCCAUUUACCGAUACCCCCAUGGCUGCACGCUUCUUAUGGAGCAAAGGGAGAGGUGGCUGUAAAGCAGAGAAGGUUCUAGGGCAGUGUUCUGGCUCUUAAUCUGGACGGGGGUUCUAGGCAGUCCACUUGCUCAUUAAACCACAUCUAUUUCCCUGUUUUCUACAUGCUUCUGCCUGUAUGCCAUAUUUCCUAAUUUCUGAUUCUCCUCUUAAGAAGGUGCAAUGCUGCCUGUGUCCUGACUAGGAAAGAAGCUUUACUUUGCGGAAAGAAAAGCUCAUCACGCUCAAACUCUCAAAUGUAAAAAAAUUCACAGAUGUAUUUCCAAAGACAAUCCAUCAAAGACAGUAAGAACGUUCGAUUACAAGGAACCCUAAAUAAAAGGAGUUACAGCUCACCAAAAUCUGAUGAUACUGCCAUUUUUAUAAAAAUCAAAAGAUGCAGAGUGAUAGUUAAGGUGGAGGUUGGAUUACAUGACACACGUGGAGGAAUCACCAUCAAAAUAAUUAGCAGAGAGGUGACAAACACCUGAUGAUGGCUUAGGCACACGGUUAAGGCACAUAUAAUAUUUAAAUAUGCAAAACAUACUUUUCAUGAUUCUUUUCUAUUUCUUCCUCUUUUGCCUUAAAAUAAAACAAUUCAGAGCCUUUAUCCAAACUGAAGACUUUCCACUCUGACCGAGACCAAGCAGAGAACUCUACAGAGAGUACAAAUUAGCAGCUCCCCGUAUCUCUAAACGCACACUCUAACAGCAAAUAGACUUCUGCUCAGCUCCAGUUUUCUGAGAAUGGUUCUGCAUUUGUUUUUACUAGGAGGCCACUUAAAUCUUACUCACUUGUUUAGCUGUAAGGAUUGAAACAAAAUGUUUGCUGGCAAAACAAACACUGGUUUUAAAACCCUCCACUUGGGCUGCUGGAUAAAACACUUGUUUACUGAAACAAAUGUUUUAUUUGGAAAACGCCUGCCAGGGUGCACACUUUCCAAAGAAAUACACCAGGAUGUGCUGGGGGGGUGACGUCACGCCCUUGAGAGGGGUUGGCAUUUUAGGGGAACUUCACAAAGUUUACUUUCAGAGAAUAGAACAACGAUGGGAAAACCAAUCUUAAAAACAAAGAAAGAAACAAACAAACAACCCCCCAGGCCUCAAAUACUCUAGUAAGUAUUACUAUCACCAUCAGCAGCAGCAGCAGCAGCACUAUUUUAGAACUAAGUCUCUCCUUUCAGAUUUAGUCUACGCCUUCUGGCUCCCCUAUGUGACAUGGCAUGAAAAACCAUUUCCAUCCCUUAGUAAGAUACGCUAGAACCCUGAAAUGCCAUUAUUAACCACAAGAUAGGAUUGAGCACAGGCAAGUCUAACUUGAAACCCAUCCAAGGAAAUUUACUUUCUUAAGUACCAAAAGAAAACAUCCCAAAAGAUAGUCUUGGGACGCUGUGGUUAGUUUCCUAUGGAGGCUCCAGUAAACACAUUACAUUUGACCAAAUAAGAUUCCACCCCAGAAAGCUUAAGAAUUUUCAUCAAUAUUUUCCUGCUAAUGUUAGGCACUAAGAACUAAAAUGCAUCGUUGUCAGAGUCUACUGUCACAGUCUCCAACUUCUAAAACGUGCGUUCUCCAUCUUUAAAAAACACUUUUGCAUAUGCCCAAGCACAUGCAUAUUUUUAUUUAUAAACUAUAUGCUGCUAAUAGGCACGAUAAAACAUAUACAAAAAUAGACAAUGCAAAGGACAUUUCUCUAAAGAAGACACGCACCUGACCAAGAAGCACAUGCAAAGAUGCUCAGUAUCAUUAGUUACCAGGGAAACGGAAAGCAAAACCGUAAGAUACUACUUCAUAUUCACUGGGGUGGCUGUAAUCAAAAAAUGGAAAGUAACAAGGGCUGGCAAAGAUGUGGAGAAACUGGAACCCUCACACAUUGUUAUUAAAUUGACUCUCGACAGGUGCAGCCUCUGUGGGAAACAGUUUGGGAGUUUCUCAAAACGUGAAACAUGGAAUAACCACAUGACCCAGCAAUUCCAAUCUUAGGUAUUUAUAUACAUCUAUACCCCAGAGAACUGAACACCGAGAUUUCAACAGAUGCUUUUAUACCCAUAUUUACAGCCACAUUAUUCAAAAGAGCCCAUGUGGAAACAACCCAGAUGUCCAUCAACUGAUGAACGCACAAACAAAAUGCAAUCUGCAGAGAUAUCAGGAUAUUAUUCAGCCAAAAAAGAAAUGAAGUACUGACGCAUGAUAAAGCCUGGUGGACCUCUGGAAACAUCAUGCGACGUGAAAUAAGCCAGCUCCCAAAGGACAUCGAUGGUACGAGUCCAGUCAUAGGAAACAUCUAGAACAGGCAUAGGAGACAGACAGUAGGUUAGCGGGUAAAGGUGGACAUGGGGCGUUAUUGCGUAAUGGGUGCAGGGUUUCUGUUUGGGGUGAUGAAAAAUUUUGGAAAUUGACAGUGGCGAUGGUUGCACAACCCUGGAUGUAAUUAAUGCCACUGAACUGUACACUUAAAAAUGAUGACAAUGGAGAAUUGUACGUUACAUCUUUCUUUAACCACAAUUUUAACAAAGGGGGAAAAAAAAAAAGAGGACAAGCUAAAAAUACAAUUGAGGUUCUAAUAGCUUCUUCUCAAAUUGCAUGGGUCACCCAGCAUGCUCUGGGGCUGGGUGGGGGUUGGAGGCAGAGCUUCCAAGGCCAAAGCAGGAAUUAGUGAACUGGAUAGGAGCUAGAGAGGAUACUGGCCAGGGUGACGGUGUCUGAGUUAUGGGAAUGCCUACAAGUCAAAAAAGAAUUUUACUUUAUUUUUUGUCUUUUCUAGGGCCGCUCCCACAGCAUAUGGAGGUUCCCAGGCUAGGGGUCGAAUCGGAGCUGCAGCUGUUGGUCUACACCACAGCCACAACCACUCCAGAUCCGAGCCGCGUCUGCGACCUACACCACAGCUCACGGCAACGCCGGAUCCUUAACCCACUGAGCAAGGCCAGGGAUCGAACCCGCAACCUCAUGAUUCGUUAACCACUGAGCCACGACAGGAGCUCCAAAGAAUUUUACUUUUAAUUCAAAGGGGAGAGGACCCCAUUCUGUAGCCUUGCCCUAGAAUUCCACGGGGACGCCCUUGAGUUCUCACCAUCGCCCCCACCAAGACCUGGACAUCGGAAUCACGGCACACACACGGGGACACCCUCUUCACUUCCCCGGCAAAGCUCAGGCAAAUCCAGCCCGCCUGAUGCAGGGCCCGAGGUCCUGCCUCACAAAGCAGAAUGUACUUCACCAUCAUUUUCUGGUCCUCUGGUCUCAGGUAAGACCUGAAAAGAUGCCUUUUCAAAGCUGUUUCCAAAGUCAUUUUCAUCACUUUCCCCCCUCGGGCUCAAGAGCAUCAUUCAAGGGGGAAAGGACAGGAAAUAAUGAAAAGAUCAGCAGCUCGACCUCCAGAAGCUCCUACACUGCCUGUGCUAGACGCGCCAGCUAUGAGGCUGGCCUGGGACCAAGGUAAUCAAAAGAAAAACACACACGAGUUUGAGGGCUAGGCUGACAUCCUGGGAGGCAGAAGGCCUCGUCCAGCACAGACGUGACAAAGCAAAGCGCACGGCUGUGGAACAACACGGCCCUCGCCUUCGCCAUCGCAGAGGCCACCGUGAGAGAGACACCUGUCCAUUGCUGGCCUGUUUGAUUUCAAAAGCGGGGGUGUUUUUCUAGUAAAAAGCAAGGACUCAGCUUUAAAAGGAAACUCAAAAUGGAGACAGGUUAGACUCCUGGGAGCAUCCGAACUUUCACUGUCUGCAGAUUGAUGACACAGCAACACGAAGGAGCAGUCUUUCCUUUGGCAGAUCGGCCGAAGCUCGCGGCACAGGAAGGACCGACAUCUUCUAAAAGUGCAGCACGAAACCGCUGAUUCGUGCCCUUCACGUUGCUCAAGUGACUACACCUGAUAAAUGACAACUCGGUGACUCCCGAACGGAUCCUCUCCAGACCUCUCCUCUGAAACCCGGAUUUCCACACCUUAGCGUACAGAGCACUCAAACUCUAUGCAACUAGGAGUUCCCGUCGUGGCGCAGUGGUUAACGAAUCCGACUGGGAACCAAGAGGUUGCGGGUUCGGUCCCUGCCCUCGCUCAGCGGCUUAGGGAUCCGGCGUUGCCGUGAGCUGUGGUGUAGGUUGCAGACGCGGCUCGGAUCCCGCGUUGCUGUGGCUCUGGUGUAGGCCAGUGGCUACAACUCCGAUUCGACCCCUAGCCUGGGAACCUCCAUAUGCCGCGGGAGCGGCCCAAGAAAUAGCAAAAAGACAAAAAAAAAAAAAAAAAAAAAAAAAUCUAUGCAACGACUGCUUCUAAACAGAAUUCAGUAAAUUAUACUGGGGGCGUGGGUGGGCACAGGAUUGUGAAUCCAUCGAAAAUAAAUGAUCUCCACGUUGUUCGUGCUGCAGCUCUAAUCGCCAAUGCCUGUUACAGCUGCCAGAGGAGAACCUUCCAUUGGUAAUUAAGGCCCACCAUGAAGUCCUGGCUUUUAAAAGAUGAGUCGUCCAAACGCAGAGAAACACAUGAGGAUUCUCUUCUAAAAGCCUUUCCUUUCAGUUCCAACCCUGAUAUUGUUUCAAAACUCUUUUCUCAAGGCCCUCUCUAGCAUGCUAUAU